rnacentral:rRNA from 1 species
GACGAACGCUGGCGGUGUGCCUCACACAUGCAAGUCGAGCGGAUUUACUUAGGAGCUUGCUCUUAAGUAAGUUAGCGGCGGACGGGUGAGUAAUGCGUAGGAAUCUACCCUAAGGUAGGGGAUAACGGGCUGAAAGGUCCGCUAAUACCCCAUAUGCGGGUUCUCUUCGGAGGAUUCGUGAAAGGAGCAAUUCGCCUUUGGAUGAGCCUGCGUCCGAUUAGCUAGUUGGUAGGGUAAAAGCUACCAAGGCUUCGAUCGGUAGUUGGUCUGAGAGGAUGAUCAGCCACAAUGGGACUGAGACACGGCCCAUACUCCUACGGGAGGCAGCAGUGGGGAAUAUUGCGCAAUGGGCGUAAGCCUGACGCAGCGACGCCGCGUGGGGAUGAAGGCCU